UGUUGUAGAUUUAACAGAAAAUAUUAGUUGUAAUUGAACUUACAUGAAACUCAUUUAUUGCAGAACCUGUGGAUUUGCAGGGAGAAUCAUCAGAUACUCCCUCAGUCCUCCAGGUUGUUGAGCCAAUCCUGCCGCUGCUGCCCACAGAAACUCACUCCACAUCUUCAGCUGUUGUUCUGCCCCUCAGUGCUGGUGAGCUGAACAGCACCUGCUGUAAUGUUGACUACAACACUGCAGACUCCUCCAUCUCCCAGUCUGGGCAAGUGGACCUUAGGAGAGACAUCCUCAGGUUUAUAAGGAGUCCAGAGAGUCGUCUCUGCUGGCAUGAAACUGCACACUGCUGGAUGCUCGAGGUAAUC